rnacentral:rRNA from 1 species
CCUACGGGGGGCAGCAGUGGGGAAUAUUGGACAAUGGGCGAAAGCCUGAUCCAGCCAUGCCGCGUGUGUGAAGAAGGCCUUCGGGUUGUAAAGCACUUUCAGUGGGGAAGAAAGCCUUGGGGCUAAUACCCUCGAGGAAGGACAUCACCCACAGAAGAAGCACCGGCUAACUCCGUGCCAGCAGCCGCGGUAAUACGGAGGGUGCGAGCGUUAAUCGGAAUUACUGGGCGUAAAGCGCGCGUAGGCGGUCUGAUAAGCCGGUUGUGAAAGCCCCGGGCUCAACCCGGGAACGGCAUCCGGAACUGUCAGGCUAGAGUGCAGGAGAGGAAGGUAGAAUUCCCGGUGUAGCGGUGAAAUGCGUAGAGAUCGGGAGGAAUACCAGUGGCGAAGGCGGCCUUCUGGACUGACACUGACGCUGAGGUGCGAAAGCGUGGGUAGCAAACAGGAUUAGAUACCCUAGUAGUC